rnacentral:lncRNA from 1 species
UUGACAUGUUGCUACCUGGCCGGUGCUUCCAGCCGUCCUAAUCUCCUAGAAUAUUGCAGUAUUCUUCUCCACUCAUCCACUGACCACUACAAUAGCUAAUACACUCAAAAUUUCUAGUCUUACCGAAUAGCCCGAAUUUCCUAGGGUUAGACAAACAAAUUAAGAAUUAGAGAAGAAUUUGGGAACUGAUAUGGAGGCAGACACACACUGCGAAUUGGGGUCUCAUCCAACAUACCUUCACUGAUUGGGUGAAUUGGGGGGAUCUGGUGAAGUAGAUGAACAGGCGAGGGGUCGAGGGCGACGAGGCGAUAGGUCAUGAAGCGCAUCGG